AGAGUUUGAUCCUGGCUCAGGACAAACGCUGGCGGCGUGCGUAACACAUGCAAGUCGGACGAGGUGGAAUCUUUCGGGGUUUCAUUGAGUGGCGGACGGGUGAGUAACACGUGGAUGACCUGCCGAGGCGUGGGGGAUACCCUUCAGAAAUGGGGGCUAAUACCGCAUGUGGUCUUCUGGGGCGACCUGGGAGAAGAAAGCCCAUUUGGGCGCGCGUUGAGGGGUCCGCGGUCGAUUAGCUAGUUGGUGGGGUAAGGGCUUACCAAGGCGACGAUCGAUAGCUGGUCUGAGAGGAUGAUCAGCCACACUGGGAUUGAGAACGGCCCAGACUCCUACGGGGGGCAGCAGUGAGGAAUAUUCGGCAAUGGGGGCAACCCUGACCGAGCAACGCCGCGUGGAGGAUGACGGCCUUCGGGUUGUAAACUCCUUUUCUCCCGAACGAGAACGGACGGUACGGGAGGAAGAAGUCUCGGCUAACUACGUGCCAGCAGCCGCGGUAAUACGUAGGAGACGAGCGUUGUCCGGAGUUACUGGGCGUAAAGGGUGCGCAGGCGGCGGGUUGCGUGUGUGGUGAAAUCUCCUGGCUUAGCUGGGAGGGUGCCAUGCAAACGGGCUCGCUUGAGUCUCGGAGAGGGGCGUGGAAUUCCGGGUGGAGCGGUGAAAUGCGUAGAGAUCCGGAGGAACACCGACGGCGAAGGCAGCGCCCUGGACGAGGACUGACGCUCAGGCACGAAAGCUGGGGGAGCAAACAGGAUUAGAUACCCUGGUAGUCCCAGCUGUAAACGAUGUCCACCAGGUGCUGGAGGUAUCGACCCCGCCAGUGCCGAAGCUAACGUGAUGAGUGGACCGCCUGGGGAGUACGGCCGCAAGGUUAAAACUCAAAGGAAUUGACGG
rnacentral:rRNA from 1 species